rnacentral:piRNA from 1 species
GAGAAGGGAAACAGAUGAACUGGCAG